AUCUCUUGGUCUAAUGGUUAAGAGGGAGGUGAGAAGCUUUGCUUCUUUUGGAGGUCCUUGGUUCAAACCCAGGCAAGGGGUG
rnacentral:tRNA from 1 species